GAUGAACGCUGGCGGCGUGCCUAAUACAUGCAAGUCGAGCGAACAGACGAGGAGCUUGCUCCUUCGACGUUAGCGGCGGACGGGUGAGUAACACGUAGGUAACCUACCUAUAAGACUGGGAUAACUUCGGGAAACCGGAGCUAAUACCGGAUAAUAUUUCGAACCGCAUGGUUCGAUAGUGAAAGAUGGCUUUGCUAUCACUUAUAGAUGGACCUGCGCCGUAUUAGCUAGUUGGUAAGGUGACGGCUUACCAAGGCAACGAUACGUAGCCGACCUGAGAGGGUGAUCGGCCACACUGGAACUGAGACACGGUCCAGACUCCUACGGGAGGCAGCAGUAGGGAAUCUUCCGCAAUGGGCGAAAGCCUGACGGAGCAACGCCGCGUGAGUGAUGAAGGUCUUCGGAUCGUAAAACUCUGUUAUUAGGGAAGAACAAACGUGUAAGUAACUGUGCACGUCUUGACGGUACCUAAUCAGAAAGCCACGGCUAACUACGUG
rnacentral:rRNA from 1 species